CUCUAGCUGUGGUGCUACAUUAAAGAUAGAAAUUACAGCAGAUCCUUUGUCAGAAACUACUCAAACCAAGAAGUCAAAGGAGUGGCAUUCUUAAAGUGCUGAAAGCAAACAAAACAAAACAACCUGUGAACUCAGGAUUCUAUGAGCAGCGAAAAUAUUUUUCAAAAUGAAGGAGAAAUAAAGCCUUCUCUAGACAAACAAAAAUCAAGAAUUAUUAACUGUAAAACCCUCUACAAAUUUUUAAACAAAAGUUUUUAGACAGAAGCAAUGAUACCACACAGAAAAAUUAAGUAUAUUGCAGUUUCCAAGAAUCUAUUGAUGAUGUGAAGUGAGGACUUACAGUAUACACAAAGAAAUGAAGAUCUCUGGAAAUGGCUAAAAUAAAGAAGAAAAAAGAAAGAAAAACAUGAGGGGACACCUAUUCCAGCAGAGGUUCACCAUCUCAAAUAUAAAAAAGCAAAUGCUGGAGAAAGUGAGGAGAAAUAAAGAGAGGAAGAUGUUUAUAUUUCUGAGAAUUAAAACAUCAAAAGCAGCCAUUAAUGUGAUGUUUCCUUAAAUUCACAAAAGAAGAAUCAAAUAAUGUUUUUAUGAGGGGG